UCUUGUUCAGAAGUUCAAGUAACCAUUUAUUUUGUCAUCAUAGCUUGAAGUUUAAUUAUGGAGGCACACAAAUAUCCAUAGCACAAGGUAGAAAGUGAUUGGAGUCCCCAAAGGCACAAAGAUCAUAGAGACAGUACUAGAGUGCAGUAAUAUCAAAUAGCAUCUUGUUUUUGCCUCUCAAAAUGUAUCUGUGAGCCAGCAGCUAUAAAACUAGCUAUAUACCUUUGUAAAAUCUUAAGCCUUAUUCCAAACCUAAUGACCCAGAAUUUGCAUCUUCACCUAGUGCUCACGAUUUGAAUUCCAUUUAAAACUUCAGUACCAUGGAUCAGUUCCAAAUCCAUCAUUUUAUAGGCUCAUCAGCAGAGCAGACGAGCAGACCAUUUAUUAGCUUCAGGGAAAUACGAAGAGGCUAUUUAUUGUCACAAGAAGGCUGCGGGUAAAUUGUCUUUUUAAGAAAUACUGAUUGUAAAAAUGAAGAGCAAUUUGUUUUUCCCAGUAUCUCUGACCACUUUAUUUAGAAUGAAAAUCACAACAGUAGUGUUUGUUGUCCUGCAUACACAUGUUAGAUCAUUCUGCUUAUCACCUA
rnacentral:lncRNA from 1 species